AGCCCUAAGUGGGUGGUAAACUCCAUCUAAGGCUAAAUAUGACCACGAGACCGAUAGCGAACAAGUACCGUGAGGGAAAGUUGAAAAGCACUUUGAAGAGAGAGUUCAAGAGUACGUGAAACCGUUUAGGGGUAAACCUGAGAAACCCGAAAGGUCGAAGGGAGAAAUUCAUUCGCGUUUCGCCGUAGGCGUGAGACGGUCGAGUGACGGGGGGCGUUCGCGCGUCCCCCGCGCCUUCCGUUUUUCGAUCCGGCAGCGAACGCGUGCACUUUUCUCCUGGUAGGACGUCGCGAUCCGUUGAGUGUCGGUCUACGGCUCGCGGUGGAGACCGGACGUUUAGCUUCGGCUUCGCGUUCGGACCCGCGUGUCCCGGCCGACUCGCUCGACGGUAUACGAAAGGUUAAAGGCCGCUCUCGGAGCGUUCGACUCGUGGCAAGCGCGUCAGAUGCGUUGGCGAUCGGACCUAGUGCCGAUUCUGACCUCUGGCGACUGUUGGCCGCGAAGUUCUCGAACAGACCUUUGACCGAUUUGCGACGCUAUUGUUUUGGGUACUUUCAG
rnacentral:rRNA from 1 species